rnacentral:rRNA from 1 species
UACGUAGGGUGCAAGCGUUAAUCGGAAUUACUGGGCGUAAAGCGUGCGCAGGCGGUUAUGUAAGACAGUUGUGAAAUCCCCGGGCUCAACCUGGGAACUGCAUCUGUGACUGCAUAGCUAGAGUACGGUAGAGGGGGAUGGAACUCCGCGUGUAGCAGUGAAAUGCGUAGAUAUGCGGAGGAACACCGAUGGCGAAGGCAAUCCCCUGGACCUGUACUGACGCUGAUGCACGAAAGCGUGGGGAGCAAACAGG